GACGAACGCUGGCGGCGUGCCUAAUACAUGCAAGUCGAACGCACUCUCGUUUAGAUUGAAGGAGCUUGCUCCUGAUUGAUAAACAUUUGAGUGAGUGGCGGACGGGUGAGUAACACGUGGGUAACCUGCCCUAAAGUGGGGGAUAACAUUUGGAAACAGAUGCUAAUACCGCAUAAAACCUAACACCGCAUGGUGUAGGGUUGAAAGAUGGUUUCGGCUAUCACUUUAGGAUGGACCCGCGGUGCAUUAGUUAGUUGGUGAGGUAAAGGCUCACCAAGACCGUGAUGCAUAGCCGACCUGAGAGGGUAAUCGGCCACACUGGGACUGAGACACGGCCCAGACUCCUACGGGAGGCAGCAGUAGGGAAUCUUCCACAAUGGACGAAAGUACUGAUGGAGCAACGCCGCGUGAGUGAAGAAGGUUUUCGGAGUCGUAAAACUCUGUUGUUGGAGAAGAAUGUAUCUGAUAGUAACUGAUCAGGUAGUGACGGUAUCAACCAGAAAG
rnacentral:rRNA from 1 species